rnacentral:lncRNA from 1 species
AACCUAGAACUUGAACCCUUAAUAACCAUCUAGCCAUAGAUUGAUUCGCGCCUUGUCAUGCCCAUUCAAUCAUAGACUGAUUUGCGCCUUAGCUUGUCCCCUAGCGAACAAUCAGCGAUGGGGAGACGUUCACUAGGAGUUCCACCACCCUGCGAACAUUAUAGAAACGUUCGGUGGAGAUUUCCUCCGAGCUAUUUUUUUAACAUAGUACAGACGCAAGCGUUCAUAUACACGUGCAUAUACUCAUUAUUAUGAACGUACACACGCACAUCCUAUCACUAUGAGCAUCCCCGAAAGACUGAGCUAAUGUACCAUCUUGAAAUUUACAAAGUCACCAUAGACACCUCGUCGUCGACGGGAACAUCUCCUCCCACUGAAUGCGCAUCGCCAAAAAUCCUGAAAUAAAUUCAGAAAUAAAUGCAAGCAUCAAGAUUUGAACUCUCGUGGGCUGGGGAUAUAUACCACAAUCCCUUGUAAGCAUCCAACCCAUGUUGGUUCGCAGCCGCCCCCUAGCUAAUGGGUCUGUUGUUUAUGCCAAAAAUUUGUAUGGCAUAAAAAAGUUAAAGAAUAUUCUUACUUUUCGUACGUCAAAACUUUUGAUAUAUUCAUUUGCAAUUAUGGUCGUACGACGAACAUAAAAAAUAAUAAAAAAUACAUCCAAAUCUGACCAUCUAGACUACAUGUACCGAAGCAAGCAAAAGGCACGCCGUCAUCAUCGCCCCUCCCUCGUCAGAGCUAGGCAAAACUUGUUGUAGUAGACAAUCAGAAAUCUAUCGUGUUAAGGCCUCAUAGGACCACUGCACCAGAACAACAACCACCAUAGAUGAAGAGUCGCAUAGAUAGAAAGGAUCCAAUCAAAAGACACACGAACCUAGCCGAACGAAGAACAGAUCUGAGUAGACCCACCAAACACAAUAACCGGUCGAGUCCCACAAGAUCCACCAACGACACACCUUCACACGCACUCCGACGAUGCUAGACACACCACCAAAAUGGGGACUAGACAGGGAAAACUUUACUACAUCUACACGGAGCCAUCACAAUGUCGUCUUCCUAAGUAUGACACAAGCCCUAACUAAACCAAAAGAAACAACUAAAAACGGAGUCCUCCCACCAGCAAGGGCCUGGAUCCACCGCGUCCCCUGAUACGUCCAUUUUAGAUCAUGAUUUUCUAUUAAUAUUUAUGUUAUUAUUAUCCAUUCUUCCACAUUAUCAUACAAUUCGUAUGCCGCUUCUCUCUGAAUUUACGAGGUACAUCAUAAAGAGGAAAAUUGCCGUAAACUAGAAUUCUGGGCCUAAAAAUCAAGAGAAAGGCUGAAAAAUCACUGGACUCCAAAUGGCCUGAAACUUCAUGGCGAUUUUUUGUGGAAUAUAUGUGAAUUAUUGGACCAAAAAAAAUUCCAGAGGGGGGCCACCUGCUGGCCACAAUCCAUCAGGGCACGCCCCACCCCCGGGCACGCCCUAUUAUCUUGCGGGCCCCUCACAGGUCCCCAGGACUCCCUCUUCUCUUAUAAGGUGUGUUCAGACCUAGAAAAAAUCAAGAAGAUACUUUCGUGAUGAAGCACUGUCGUCUCAAGGUAGAAACCUGGGCAUAGGCCCUUUUGCUCUCCGGCAGAGCGAUUCUGCCAGGGAAACUUCUCUCCGAGAGGGUGAGAUCGAAGCCAUCGUCAUCACCAACGCUUACAGCCUCAUGGGAGGACCAAUCCUUAUCAACAUCUUCACCAGCACCAUCCCAUCGCAAACCCUAGUUCAUCUCUUAUAUUCAAUCUUUGUCUCAAAACCUCAGAUUGGUAUAUGUGGGUUACUAGUAGUGUUGAUUACAUCUCAUAGUUGAUGCAUAUUGGCUUACUUGGUGGAAGAUAUUAUGUUCAUAUCCUUAUUUAUCAUUAUUACACCUCUCAUCCUGAACAUGUUGAUGAUGUGUGAGUAGUUACUUUUGUUCCCGAGGACAUGAGAGAAGUCUUAUUAUAAGUAAUCAUAUGAAUUUGGUAUUCGUUCGAUAUUUUGAUGAUAUGUAUGUUUGUGCUUCUCUUAGUGGUGUCGUGUGAAUGUCGACUACAUGACACUUCACCAUGUAUAUACCAAAUUGUAGGAGAAAUUGUAUAUAUAUAUAUAUAUAUGUAUGGUCGUAUGAGAAAUUAUAUUAUAUAUGGAUCAACGUGUACAUUAUGUAGUAGUGUAAAAUAUGUUUGAAAUAAAAAAUAAUUGAAUGAACAACACAAAAUGAAAAGGAAAAAUAAACCAUAAACCAUAAACCCCAACAAAAAACACAAAAUCCUUAGUCCUGACUGGUGUCACCAACCGGGACUAAAGGUCCUCCAGCCCCCACCACACACUCACGGCAAUGUGGACGGACUUUAGUCCCCGGUUGUGGCCAACCGGGACUAAAGGGUGGGGGCCUUUAGUCCUGGUUGGUGACCCGGGACUAAAGGUUGUUCCCAACCGGGACUAAAUCCCCGUUCUCCACUAGUGGUUAUGGGCCUAAGAAAAGGCAUGCCUGCAGCGACUUGGGACUUUGUAUUUGUCUUAUGCUCAUAACAAUUUCAGCUAGUAUAGCCUCCAAGGGUCGGGUCAUUAUGCAAUAAUGAGCAGGGACUUUGCAGAUCUAAUUAUGUAAUCUUGAGCAGCAAUGUGUAGCCCCAAAUGACCGAGUUAUUAUGAGAUGAUGAGCCAGUUCUUCCUUGAAUCCAUACUUGAAUAAAGAGUGACUUGUAGCCCCCAAGAGCUGGCUUAUCUCUUUGAGUUAGCAGGUCUACUGAUAAUGUGAUGAUUUGAAAAACAAUUUGCAUUAGCUCCCAAGUGUCAUGGUGCAUGCUUGCAGUGACAUGUGACUUUCAUACUUUGAUGUCAUGUUGAUUUGAAUGAAUCCUUGACCGUGGUUGUAAUGUAACUCAGUACGAAUAUCCUGGAAUAAUUCCUUUGUCUUUGAAAUGAAAUCCCUGCUCGUGGUUGCGGUGCAACCCAACAAAUAUAUGUUUGAGAAAUCCAUAAGCGUUGUAGUUUACUAUAGAGCACAAAUUGAAAAAAUCCAAGAGUUGUUCAAUUAGAUGACCCAACAUUAUAUGUGAUAUGGCAGAUCUUUCAAAAAUAGUCAAUUCUUCUGAGCUCGCUUAACCCCCCCCCCAAUCAUUUAACACUGGUUAUGAUAAACCAUGAUGAAGAUCCAGCCAUAUUGGCUAUCAAAGAUCUAUUUGCUCCUGCAGAAGUAUAUGCUUUGACCUAGUUUGAAGACCGACAUGAUAUGUAUGUAUGAAGUAUGAUGCAUGAUGCAAUGCCUGAUUAUGUAUGUAUAUGAUAAUAGAAUAUAAAGUGCUAGCUUUUGAGGCAUGACAUAAAGACCCGCUUUCGAGGCUCGAGUCUUGCUUCAAUGAAAGCGGAUAUGAAAACCCAUAAGGAUAAAAACUUUUAAUAAGCCGACUCAAUGCGAUUUGGUGAUUUAGAUUGGCUGAUCAGGCUCAAGUCAUGCUUCAGUGAAGCGGGUAUGUGAACCUAUGGUUUCUCCUUUUCCAUAUGCCGGCUCUCACAUGACGCACUCGAUGUUUUAACUUUGGCAAGUUCAGGGUCCACAAUGGAUUGACUUGUCAAGAGUACACGGGGUCUUUUAAUAGGAGUCACACAAACAUACAGUCAGGUCUAACCAUCGUAUAGCGGUAUUUUUUUGUAGACCAAGAGGGUGAGAAAGCUAAACUCAGUGAGUUGUAAGCUCCCAAGUGACCCAUGAUCAGGGAAAAGCUCAGCCUAAGAUUACAGGAGACAAUGCUACAACUGCAAAACAUCUGGGGUUCAGAUAAAGUCGGCUUGAUUCCACUAAUCACAAUUGGCGCCUAUGUUUCAACCAUGCAGCAUGGCAACCGGUCCUCUUUGGCUUUAUAGCACCUAUGUUUGAUCAGUAGCAUCAUGGUGGCUCGUCCUCUUGAGCGAUUUUUAAAUCACCCGCCAAUGAGGCAGGACACCCAUGUUUGAACGGUCGCAUCAUGGCGGCUCGUCCUCUUGGGCGACUUUGAAAUCUCCAGCCAAUGAGGCAGGGCACCCAUGUUUGAACGGCCGCAUCAUGACGUCUCAUCCUCUUGAGCGACUUUAAAUUACCCGCCAAUGAGGCAGCAACCCCGGGACCGGGUUAUCUUUCAUGUAAUGAUCCGGGGUUCUUGUAUUAUUCACCCCGGUUGAAUCUGCCGAGCCAUGUCUUUGUAGCCCUUGAGUCUUGGGUCAACUCAAGAAGGCGGCUUGAGAGUCUCCAUGCUUGAGUGUGGCAUAAGCCGGCAUAAGGUUGACGGUUGAACGAUGGAUUUUAUCCAAACUAGAGACGUCAUAGUGAGCUGAUGAUCUUUGUGACGCUCAUCAUAUGUCUUUGGCAAAUAUCGUGGCCAAAUUGAGUGCAUAUGCCUCUUUGGACCAUGCAUUAUACUUUAUGUAGUCUGGAUCUCUUGGCUCCUCCAGGGCCAUUUUUCUUUUUCUCCACCGCUUGCUUGGAAUUGCUGGCUCAAUGAUGGCCGGCUCAAAUUGUAGCUUCAUCAGGGAUGUUUCCUUCAUGACAAGCUUUUCUAUUUAUUUUGAUAUGUUGAAGUAGAUAGUAUUGACCAAUGCGCCUAUCCAUUGAGCAACUCGGCGCGAGUGGGAGUUUGUCCGUGUUUUGACGAUGUUGUGUAAGACAUUAAUGUCAUUUUGUUUUUUUGCUCCAAUGUUGUUGGAGGAGACGAACCGUGUGGGCAGUUUGCAUGCUUCAGUUGGACGACUCAUAUAAGCGAGCGCGACACCAGCGUGUUGAUGUAGACCAGACCACAGGAACGUCGUCUUUCACACGUCUAUUGGGCGGCUCGUAUAGGCGAGCACUGCACCGGUAUGUUGAUGUGGACCUGGCCGUAGGGACGAGAGCUUGCGCGCGUUUGUUGGGUGGCUCGCAUAGGCGAGCACUACACCGGUAUAUGCGCCCCCUAUCAUGUUGAUGUGGAGGUCAGCCGCAGCGUUUGAACUCACGAUCGGGCUCCAUUAGAGCGAGGGAGCUAGCCACUGCGAUCGCUUCAUGAUCGUCUGUGGCGUUGUAAGCCAGCGGGGACGACGAGUCGGCCGCAUCAUUUGUGAGCCGAUGCAAAUGGCGAGUUGGCCACAUCAUUUAUGAGCCGGCUCGGACAGCGAGUUAAUCGCGGUGAGUUGAUGUAGACCAGGCUGUGGUGACGGCGAUUCGCGCGUAUCCUUCGAGCAGAUAUCUUUCUUCAGAUUGGAUAGAUUGCUCGAUGUCUUAUAGAUGCCAUGAGUUGAUAAACCAGUGUACAUAGUAGUGUAAAACGGUAUAAAAAGUCUUGGUAAAAUUUAAUUUACGCGGAAUAAAGAAUUAUAAUACAAUAACACCUGAUAGUUUUGGGUGGACGAAGCCAUUGAAGAAGAGAAAAAACCAGAUCACCUUUCUUUUUUAUUCACG